rnacentral:tRNA from 1 species
GCGUAGUUAGCUUGGAGUGUAGCGCGACUGCUUUGUAUGCACUAGGUCGCGGGUUAAAUUCCCGCUCAGGGCA